CGGAUUGCAGCCUGCAACUCGGCUGCAUGAAGCCGGGAUCGCUAGUAAUCGCGGAUCAGAAUGCCGCGGUGAAUACGUUCCCGGGUCUUGUACACACCGCCCGUCACACCAUGGGAGCCGGUAACGCCCGAAGUCAGUGACCCAACCGAGAGGAGGGAGCUGCCGAAGGCGGGACAGGUAACUGGGGUGAAGUCGUAACAAGGUAAC
rnacentral:rRNA from 1 species